UACAGAGGUGCCAAGCGUUAGGCGGAAUCACUGGCUUAAAGCGCGUGUAGGUGGGUCGUUAAGUGUCCGCGUGAAAUCCCACGGCUCAACCGUGGAACUGCCGGCAUACUGGCGAUCUUGAGGCAUUCAGGGCGAGCGGAACAAUGGUGGAGCGGUGAAAUGCGUAGAUAUCAUUGGAACGCCAAUGGUGAAACAGCUCGCUGGAAUGAUCUGACACUGAGACGCGA
rnacentral:rRNA from 1 species